UGGUGGCCACAGCUGGAGUGACCGCAGUGUACAGAGAUGGGAUGGGAGCAGGAAACCCAAAAGAGCCGGCCCUGGAACCAGGUGGAGGGGAGGCAGCCCGGCCAUGACCCAGAGCAGGACACCUGCUCCACUUCACCUUUUGCCAUGAGUAAAAGCUCCCUGAGGCCUCCCAAGAAGUUGAUGCCCUGUGCUUCCUGUACAGCUGCGGAACCGGAUGGCUUUCCGUGGCUUUGCUACAGCCACUCCUGGAAGUGCUGCCUGACUGAAUCCUCAGGGCACCCCGGCAGGAUGGACGUGGUGUACCCCCUACUUUACAGAUGGGGAAACUGAGGCUUGAGAGCUAAAGCAGCCCACCCAGCUCC
rnacentral:lncRNA from 1 species